AACGAACGCUGGCGGCAGGCCUAACACAUGCAAGUCGAACGGGUCCUUCGGGACUAGUGGCGGACGGGUGAGUAACGCGUGGGAACGUGCCCUUUGGUUCGGAAUAGCCCCGGGAAACUGGGAGUAAUACCGGAUAAGCUCUUCGGAGGAAAGAUUUAUCGCCAGAGGAUCGGCCCGCGUUGGAUUAGGUAGUUGGUGGGGUAAUGGCCUACCAAGCCGACGAUCCAUAGCUGGUUUGAGAGGAUGAUCAGCCACACUGGGACUGAGACACGGCCCAGACUCCUACGGGAGGCAGCAGUGGGGAGUCUUAGACAAUGGGGGAAACCCUGAUCUAGCCAUGCCGCGUGAUCGAUGAAGGCCUUAGGGUUGUAAAGAUCUUUCAGCUGGGAAGAUAAUGACUGUACCAGCAGAAGAAGCCCCGGCUAACUCCGUGCCAGCAGCCGCAGUAACAC
rnacentral:rRNA from 1 species